AUUGAACGCUGGCGGCAUGCCUAACACAUGCAAGUCGAACGGCAGCACGGUCUGGUUUACCAGAUGGGUGGCGAGUGGCGAACGGGUGAGUAAAGCGUAGGAAUAUACCUUAAAGAGGGGGAUAACCUGGGGAAACUCAGGCUAAUACCGCGUAAACUCUGCGGAGCAAAGCUGGGGACCGAAAGGCCUGGCGCUUUAAGAAUAGCCUGCGUCCGAUUAGCUAGUUGGUGGGGUAAAGACUCACUAAGGCGACGAUCGGUAGCUGGUCUGAGAGGACGAACAGCCACACUGGGACUGAGGCACGGCCCAGACUCCUACGGGAGGCAGCAGUGGGGAAUAUUGGACAAUGGGGGGAACCCUGAUCCAGCAAUGCCGCGUGUGUGAAGAAGGCCUGAGGGUUGUAAAGCACUUUCAGUGGGAGGAGGAUUACUAGGUUAAGAGCCAGGUAAUUGGACGUUACCCACAGAAGAAGCACCGGCUAACUCCGUGCCAGCAGCCGCGGUAAAGUCGAUA
rnacentral:rRNA from 1 species